rnacentral:lncRNA from 1 species
AUAAAUGGUGGAAAAUGAAUGGGAAGCUGAAUAAUAUAUGAAAUUGAAGCUGAAUGUGUCUAUUUUCAUAUGAAAUAAAUAGAAUAAGCAAAAGAGUUGUAUUUUUGGAGAUAUCUGAAUUUUACUGAAACAGGGCUGGAUUGAUUUCGGGAUCCCCUGUUCUAACUUUGGAAAAUCACCAAAAAUUGUAAAAAAAUAAUUAUGGUGUGAAAUUUAUAUUUCUGGAUUCCUUAUUGACUCUAUUUUUAAUAGAAACAAGCGAAACCAUUUUUAAAAUUUUGUACAGAGAGUUAAGUGAAUUUUUUUGAGGAAGG